rnacentral:rRNA from 1 species
AACGAACGCUGGCGGCAUGCCUAACACAUGCAAGUCGAACGAGACCUUCGGGUCUAGUGGCGCACGGGUGCGUAACGCGUGGGAACCUGCCCUUAGGUUCGGAAUAACUCCCCGAAAGGGGUGCUAAUAACGGAUAAUGUCUUCGGACCAAAGAUUUAUCGCCUUUGGAUGGGCCCGCGUUGGAUUAGCUAGUGGGUAGGGUAAAAGCCUACCAAGGCGACGAUCCAUAGCUGGUCUGAGAGGAUGCACAGCCACACUGGGACUGAGACACGGCCCAGACUCGUACGGGAGGCAGCAGUGGGUAAUAUUGGACCGUGGGCGAGAGGCUGAUCCAGCAAGGCCGCGUUAGUGAUGAAGGCCUUAGGGUUGUAAAGCUCUUUUACCCGGGAUGAUAAUGACAGUACCGGGAGAAUAAGCUCCGGCUAACUACGUG